UCUCUAAAGAAAGGAUGAGACAGUCGCUCAAUGGAUAGAAGUGUGCAGUAUUCCUUUGUGGUUCUGGAAAUCGCUGUGAUUGUAUUCCUGAGCCCCUUGGAAUCACUCCUUCCUGCAGGACCCUCACAUGAGCAAGCCUUGAGGAGAGAGGGGACAAAAGCAAUUCUUGAAACUUGAAUGACCCCAUUGCCUACUGAGUGGAAGAGAUUAGAAAAUGACCUCUUUGUCAGGGCUCUAAAGCAGUGGGUUUUAUAUUUGGGGGAAAAUCUUAAAUCCUUCCAUGUAGACAAAGAAAAAGCCCCCAGGAAAUGCUACUAAGUAAUCUUCAAAAAUUUGCCUAUCUUGACCUGUAGAGGUACCAAACUCAUAAUCCAGAAACUUGAAAUUAUGUAAAAAAAAAAAAUACAGUUUUCACUCUUUGCCUGUGGACCUGGGCGCACAAUAGGGGGAAAAGAUAAUUCAUAGGUGAAAUUAUACAUUAAAAUGUUUUAAAAUUAUUCUGAUGUAGACUAAACUAACCAAAGCAAGAAAACAAAUCAUAAAGCAAUAAAAAUACCCUUUUCCUCAAAAGAAGACGAAAAAGAAAAGAAAAGAAGGGGAAAAAAAGGAAUACAAAAGUCCUGGACCACUUUCUGAGAUUCCUCCUGCCUUCAGCCAUGAAUUAUUGGGUGCUCCACCAUGCACUCCCACCGUGAUGAGUCAUCUUGCUGCAGAACCAAAGCGGCAGGACAAACCAGUCACAGACUGGAACCCUCCAAACCGUGAGCCAAGUGAACCUUUGUUCUGUCUCUGCCUUGAGAGUCUGUCCUGACUUCUUUCAGAUGGACUAUAAGUUGUAAGAUGGAAUAUGUCCUCCUGUUCAAGUUGCUUUUCAUCCUGGUGUCUAUCACAGCAGUAGAGAACAAAGUAGAACAUUUGCUAAAAGUGAUACAGGGAUCUCUCCAUAGAGCACUGGAUAUCCUGGAACUGUAAUGGCCUUGAACUCACAGAGAUGCAGCUGCCUCCUCUGCCCCUCAAGUGCUAGAAUUAAAGGCAUGGUUACCUCACCUAGCGUGUGAGGGAUAUUCUUAACCAGAUUACUUGAAGAAGGAACACCCAUCCUAAGUCUGGGCCCAACCUGCUGAUGGCAGCCCACAGAAAAGGAUGUAGAAGAAGGAAGCUUUUCCUUUUUGCCUGCUUGCUCUCACUCUUGUUGGCAAGCUCAUCUAUUCCGUUGCUGCAACUGGUAAUAAAUCCAACUUCUUCAGGAUUCCAACAGACUGAAAGCAUCAGAUCUUCAGGAAUGCCCCUGGACUCUGGCACCAGACUGGGACUGAGAGACAUUCAGCCUCAUGGACUGAACAGGGGCUGGAAUCUUGGCUUUUCCAUCAUGAGAUAGCCAUUGUCAAGUUGACAAAACCUAUCAAGAACAUUCCUUUUUUAUAGAGGCUGCCAGACAAAUAACUUAAAUUGCCCAAAGUCACUCAUUAACUGGUUAAUAUAAUUUAAAUGGUAGACAGUCUUACAUCAGAGUCAAUGAUGAAGAGUGCUGCAUUAUUGCAUAUCAACAUGUAGUGUGCAAUUUACCGUCCUGCUGUAAUUGUUAAUGAUUCAUGGAGCCUUACAUAAAUA